UACGUAGGGGGCAAGCGUUGUCCGGAUUUAUUGGGCGUAAAGAGCGUGUAGGCGGCCAGACAGGUCAGCUGUGAAAACUCGAGGCUCAACCCUCGAGACGUCGGUUGAAACCGUCUGGCUAGAGUCCGGAAGAGGAGAGUGGAAUUCCCGGUGUAGCGGUGAAAUGCGCAGAUAUCGGGAAGAACACCCGUGGCGAAGGCGGCUCUCUGGGACGGUACUGACGCUGAGACGCGAAAGCGUGGGGAGCGAACAGG
rnacentral:rRNA from 1 species